rnacentral:rRNA from 1 species
CCUACGGGAGGCAGCAGUGGGGAAUUUUCCGCAAUGGGCGAAAGCCUGACGGAGCAAUACCGCGUGAGGGAGGAAGGCUCUUGGGUCGUAAACCUCUUUUCUCAGGGAAGAAGAAAGUGACGGUACCUGAGGAAUAAGCAUCGGCUAACUCCGUGCCAGCAGCCGCGGUAAUACGGAGGAUGCAAGCGUUAUCCGGAAUGAUUGGGCGUAAAGGGUCCGCAGGUGGCUGUGUAAGUCUGCUGUUAAAGAGUCAUGCUUAACAUGAUAAGAGCAGUGGAAGCUACAUAGCUAGAGUACGUUCGGGGCAGAGGGAAUUCCUGGUGUAGCGGUGAAAUGCGUAGAUAUCAGGAAGAACACCGGUGGCGAAAGCGCUCUGCUAGGCCGUAACUGACACUGAGGGACGAAAGCUAGGGGAGCGAAUGGGAUUAGAUACCCCAGUAGUCCUAGCCGUAAACGAUGGAUACUAGGCGUGGCUCGUAUCGACCCGAGCCGUGCCGUAGCUAACGCGUUAAGUAUCCCGCCUGGGGAGUACGCACGCAAGUGUGAAACUCAAAGGAAUUGACGG